AGCAGACCGUUCAACGCCCCAUUUAGCAACGACCAACACAGUGCUGAUCCAUUAUUAUCUUGGUUGCUUUUCUGAAUUAACAAUACCGGUGAUGAAGAAGAAGACUGAUGCGAUGCAGGGAAAAGAAAAGGGGAUCGGAGCAGCCCCACGCGUGAUCCGGCCAGUGGCAGCACACAAGGCAGGCAGCUAGUAGUAUCUACUCCGACAUCUCGUUCGCC